CCCAGGAGGUCUCCCAUCCAGGUGGUGCGAAGAAGCACAAGUUAUGCAGCACACAUUUUACCGCAGAACAUUUCCAAUGUGAUCUGCAUGUGGAGUGAGCAAUGUCUCAUCAGUGCCUGGUCUGCCUGAUCUGCCUGACCAGCAGCAAGCCUGGAGCCAGAGCGGAUGUUGGAGAAGAGGGGUCGAUUUUCAAAUGCACAACAAGAAGUGGUUUGAGAACCCCAUUGUUAAGAUUAAACACUGGCCAACAGUAACAAUCGAGAAGGGUUUUUAUCAGCAGGAGAAGUCAUCAAUAGAAAAAGGAACAUGGCAAACAGCUCCUGUAACAAAUGGAGUAUUGAAUUAAUCCUGGACUUUUCAAAAGGGAACACACCUGCUGCCUUUUGAUAUUCUGACGGCGAACACUGUGGCAAUGGAGGGGGGUCAGCCAGUGAAGAAGGAGGAGAUUAGAAGUCAUGCAGCCUACCUGUUCCUGCCUGUGGUGUGUCCGCAAAAAACACAUUUCAUAAAUCUUUUCCAUGAUUAAAGUUAUGACACUUGUUGCCUCACUAAAUGUCAUUUUUAUAUGAAAAAUUUACCACUUGUCAUCUGCUUAUCUAAAGGUCUGCCCUUCCAAAUUCUUCUCACCUGGGGAUAUUUUCUACUUUCUCAUGUAACUUUCCUUGACUUGCCUUGACAACUGGCAAUAACUACAUUUAAAAAUAAAGGCACAACUGAAAAACACAUUUUAUGGUUCAUUUCAAAAUAAAUAAUUGUGCCUGGAUCUGAACAUUUUAAAGCCAGAUGAAACAGGGCAAUAGUGGCAUCAGUUUAAAAUACAUUUUUCACUGUU